GUGAGGAAUAUUGGUCAAUGGACGGAAGUCUGAACCAGCCAAGUAGCGUGCAGGAUGACGGCCCUAUGGGUUGUAAACUGCUUUUAUAUAGGGAUAAAGUUCACUACGUGUAGUGUUUUGUAGGUACUAUAUGAAUAAGGACCGGCUAAUUCCGUGCCAGCAGCCGCGGUAAUACGGAAGGUCCGGGCGUUAUCCGGAUUUAUUGGGUUUAAAGGGAGCGCAGGCUGAUGAUUAAGCGUGACGUGAAAUGUAGCCGCUCAACGGCUGAACUGCGUCGCGAACUGGUUAUCUUGAGUGAGUUCGAUGUUGGCGGAAUUCGUGGUGUAGCGGUGAAAUGCUUAGAUAUCACGAAGAACUCCGAUUGCGAAGGCAGCCAACAAGGCCUUUACUGACGCUAAAGCUCGAAGGUGCGGGUAUCGAACAGG
rnacentral:rRNA from 1 species